AGUGAACGCUGGCGGCAUGCCUAACACAUGCAAGUCGAACGGCAGCACAGUAAGAGCCUGCUCUUACGGGUGGCGAGUGGCGGACGGGGGAGGAAUAAAUCGGAAUCUACUUUUUCGUGGGGGAUAACGAAGGGAAACUUACGCUAAUACCGCAUACGACCUACGGGUGGAAGCAGGGGAUCUUCGGACCUGGCGCGAUUGAAUGAGCCGAUGUCGGAUCAGCUAGUUGGCGGGGUAAAGGCCAACCAAGGCGACGAUCCGUAGCUGGUCUGCGAGGAUGAUCGGCAACACUGGAAUUGGAACACGGUCCAGCCCAGAAGGGGAGGCGGCAGUGGGGAGUAUUGGAUAGUGGGCGCAGGCGUAGCCUGGCGAAACCGCGCGGGGGAAGAAGGCCUUGGGGUCGUAAAGCCAUUUUGUUGGGAAAGAAAAGCAGCAGGUUAAUUCGCCGCUGUUCUGACGGUACCGAAAGAAUAGACACGGGCUACUUCGGU
rnacentral:rRNA from 1 species